rnacentral:rRNA from 1 species
GACGAACGCUGGCGGCGUGCCUAAUACAUGCAAGUUGAGCGAUGAAGAUUGGUGCUUGCCCCAAUUUGAAGAGCAGCGAACGGGUGAGUAACGCGUGGGGAAUCUGCCUUUGAGCGGGGGACAACAUUUGGAAACGAAUGCUAAUACCGCAUAACAACUUUAAACAUAAGUUUUAAGUUUGAAAGAUGCAAUUGCAUCACUCAAAGAUGAUCCCGCGUUGUAUUAGCUAGUUGGUGAGGUAAAGGCUCACCAAGGCGAUGAUACAUAGCCGACCUGAGAGGGGGAUCGGCCACAUUGGGACUGAGACACGGCCCAAACUCCUACGGGAGGCAGCAGUAGGGAAUCUUCGGCAAUGGACGAAAGUCUGACCGAGCAACGCCGCGGGAGUGAAGAAGGUUUUCGGAUCGUAAAACUCUGUUGGUAGAGAAGAACGUUGGUGAGAGUGGAAAGCUCAUCAAGUGACGGUAACUACCCAGAAAGGGACGGCUAACUACGUG